UUGUGCUAUAAAAUGAUGGGCUUGGGUGCACUGUUUUUAUGCUUGUGUACCUCCAUCAGCUUCCACAGUUUGGGUCUUUAUCUGUGCGGUGGUAUUGGUAAAAGCUGGAGUAACCUUUUAGGAAAAAGAGAAUAUAGCCUUUUUUUUGUUUUUUUUUUUAAGGACAUUUUCCUAAUUUAUUCAAUGGAGGCGGAUGUAUUAUUGUCAGUAAUUAUAAGUGUGCAGUAUCAUGGAAGUGGAUCUCAGCAUUCUGAGUAAACCUCAAGUCUGUAGUAAGAAAGAGGGAAGGGUUUAUGCUUCGCAUAUACCAGCUGGGCAAUGGUGGGAUGGGAAGCAAAUGCUGGUAAGUAAAAUGAUUUGCCCACCCAAUAUCACAGAGUUAAUAGAAAAGGUGGUAUUGUAACUGUUGGGUCUUGGCUUUCUAGCAUCAUUUACGAGACGGUAGGUAUGAUACAUCACUAGAAGGUACUGUGGUCGCACUUGCUGUAGGAAGCUGACCGUGCUUUUGCAAAGGCUAAUACCUAUUACCUCUUUUAUGGGUUUGUGCAUUGCGAUUGUACGUUCAUAGCAAUAACUGCACUGACAAAAAAUGCCUCCCACUUUAUUCCCAUUUCUCUCUGAUGGUGGUACCUCACUAAAAACUUGCAGCAAUAAAACCAGCUAAGUUUAUAGUUGUGCACAUGGAAGUUGUUAAUUUCCCACUAAGUAAAAUAGUUAGUUUACCUUAAUCUAAUGGAGAAAAUAUGACUUUUUGGAGAAGGAAAAUACAAACACAUGGGUUUAAAAUUCCAUUUUUUAGUCACAUUACCAGAUUAAUAGCCCUAUAUAGUAUUUUUCUAAAGGCAUAAAAAUUCUUGAGGCAUACAGUGUUCUGCUUCAAGUUCUGUAGAGUGAAGGCAUUUGAUCCUUUGCUUGGAUAUGCAUUAUGUGUAUUUGAGGCUUUGGGAAUCUGUGUAAGACAAGGGCAUCUGUUAAAGCAUUUUGCCUAAAAUAUCUGUAAAAUCUGUACUUUUAAGAAGGGGAUAAGUGUGUAGAAUUAACAAAUGGAUUGGCCUAGUCUCGUAGUAUCCUAACUAUCUGGACUAACUACCUCUUUAAAAUGUCCAGAAAAGAUUUAAUCUUAAGUCCUGGUUUCAGGUAUGCUAGUACUAAGUUGACAUAUCCAUUCCCAGGUUCUGACAGCUAGAUGUGUGUGCAGGUGAGAGUUAACAUUCAGGACUAUUAAAAAAAGAAAAAAAAAAAAAAAGUAAAGGCAAAAAAAUUCCCGAGGAUUUUUUUUUCCUCAUUUUUAACUAAUUGUAAGUUAUAUUUGAGCUGACCUGUUGUUUAGGUAAUUAUGAUUUUAUUUUUUUUUUUUUUUUUUUACAGUUUGAUAUUUGAUAUUUUAAUUGUGAUUGAUAUUUCAGUUGCAGAAGUAACAGAUCGGCAGAAAAACUGGGGCAGGAGCAAAUGAAAAGGGAAUAUUAUCCUGAGCUUAUAUAUGAACUGGAUUGCUUUUGGUAUUAAAACUGCACUUGAAAGCAUCCUACAUCAACAUGCUAAUGUGGCAGUUGUGAGAAUAUGAAUUAUUGCAUGGCUGUUGGCAGACGAGAGCUAGUAUUUUUACUAGUGAUGCUGCAUGGAAAUACUGGUCCCUUUUGUGUGCAGACUGGGUCUUGCUUAGGCGAUGAGGUCUCUCAAACCUUGAGCAACUGUGCCUUUCAAUUCCUAUUGAUGCGCACCGCGGGGGGAACAGCACAAACGCUACUGUGGUCGGAUUCGGAAACGACGUCACGUUAACGCCAUCUCUGUUUUUUUCCCCUUCUUUCCCUUUGGAAGAAGCUCUGGUCGGCCUGGACCUGUGGCUAAUGCCAUAUAGUUCCUCCUGAAUUGGCUGAGCCCUCCCUUUUACACGCUGCUUGUUCCUCGGGUAUCUCAUGCUCUGCUCGGAGAGGAUGCCGGUGGCUGCCAAGCGAUGGGCAGCGGGAGAGCCGAGGAGCCGCAGCAUCGGCAGACGGGCUGACACAAGGCAGGGAGCCAAGCCAGAAUUAAUGGGGGGGGGAGAAAGGACAGAGAGAGGCGAGAUAAGGGGAGGCAGUAAGGGAGGGGUUGGGGAGACUGGAAAAUGGACUGGGAGGGCAGAGGAGUUGAUGGAGAGAUGUGGGAGAACUAGUAGGCAGAAGAAAAUUCUUCAGGUCUUCAAAAUCUGUAGAUAGGGGUGUCUUGCACUCCAGGCUCCAAGGAUUUGCACUGUGCUGCUGUGACCCAUGUGUUUUCCCAAGGCUUAUGGGACUGACUGUCUGGGUAGCUUUUAAUAUUCUUUGCUAUUUAACAUAAGUUUGCUUCUGCAAAAUCAAGUCAGCAAUUUAGUCAGGCAAUUUUAAAGAAGAUUAUAAGUCUUCCAAAGUCUUUAAUUCCCUGCAGUUCAUUUACCUUAAGAUUUGAUGUGCACAAUUAACUUCAGUUUUAUAUUAUUUGAAAGUAAGAACUGUUUUUUGUGGCAUUCUACAGCUUUACAUUAUUUUCUACCAGUAGCUUAAACUUUUGACAUUUGAAUAAUUCCUCUGGCUGAGAUCUGCAAAAUCAUUUGUAUCCUUGAAGCGUGUAUGCUUUUGAAAAAACAUUUUGGUAGUAAUACUGCCCAGUCAAAUUUUAAACCUCUCUAUCAAGUUUUCUGCAUGCAGUUAAGAGUUUAAAAAUAGAGUUGUCCCAAGGCGUGCCAAAAAUCUGGAGGCAGUCAAACUAAUAGAGAUAUGUAAACUUUCAUAAUACGUUUACUGCAGGGAGAAAAAUAUGCCGAGGCUUUUGCUUUCAAAAAGCCUUUGUCCAAGCCUUCUUAAAAAAAAGAAGGGAAAAGGAAAGGUUGCCUACAGUUAUACUGUGACUCUGUUUACAGACAUCAAAAUAUGUUAGUAUCCACUGGAUUCUACUAAAGUGCUUCCUUGGAAGAGUGCUGGCCAAGCGAAGUCGAUGUGAGCUGCAAUAUACCCCAGAUUUUUAAAAGCUGCCUAUGCUUAUUCAGAUACAUAAAUGGAGAGUUUGGAGCCAGAGUGUUAGCAUUACUUAAAGAAAGAAAAAAAGUUAAAAAGCCAUAGACUUCAAAGGGUUGAUCCAAUGAAAUUUCUGCAGAUUGAGUCUACAUUUGUGAAAUUGGGGCAUCAUAUAAGGAAAUGUAGAAAAUGUUAGGAUUUCAGCACAGUACUGGGGCCAGUCUUUGCACUGGAGAAGCUGUAUGCACUUGUGUCACCCAGGGAGCUGGAGAGAGACUAGACUUCGAAACGCUGUGUUUUAAUCCCUUGCUGUGUAAAUUUGUGCCCUGUGGUGUUUCCUGCUAGGACACCUCCAUCCUUGGGCAGCUGUGUAAAGCAACAGUUCUUCAGCUGAUUAUUUCUCCUUUUCUUCUUCAUCAUGGAGCCACACUGAGGAAAGCAGUGAUUAAACAACACAGAGAAAUGGAGCCAGGGGAGCUUGUGGCUGCUUGGCAGCCUUUUAGCAUCUGAGCAGGGACUCCAGUGUGGGAGGUGAUGUGGUUCCCAGCAACCUUCAGCUGCUGCUUUUCUUAUUUUCUAAACUGCCUAGGUGGAAAUUCCAAGCCAUGACUUUGUCAGGUGGGCUCCAUCCCUGCCCAGCCACCUCCUUCUGGCACCAGCACCAUUGCAAACUGCUCCUUGGUGGCGGUACCUUCCCACUCCCCUAUUUCCUAUGCAUUUCUCCUGGAAGGUUGGAUAAAUGCACCCAUUUAGACAUAGCUGCAGGAGUUGUUUACUUCUAACAAUCCUAAUGUGAAUCUGUUCUUAGUAAUUGUUGAUGUUUUCAUGUUGAAAAUAAGACUUUUAGAACUGGACCUAUUUUGGCAAAAACAGAAUGACUACUACUUAACUAAAAUAACCAUCACAUUUUUUGGGGGCCUAAAUUGCUUGGCUUCAUGAGUCUUUCUCAGAUCAAGGUUGCCUGAACACUACUCAUACAGGUGAAUAAGGGCUACAUAGUGUGAGUAGAUGCAGCAAAGUUAGAUGUUUAAUUGUUUGUGAAGUGCUAUAUGAAUGCUAAACGGCAAUUUGAAUCUAGUUUCAUAGUUUUACUGAUCUUUGUUUGUUUGUUUUGGCUUACUUGUUGUUAUUCUUCAGAGGAAGAGAGCAAGAAUUUGGAACAUUUUUAGGAGCUAAGAGCCAGAUUUUCAGCUGUAAACCAGGAGAGAUUUAGGUCUCUCCAUUCACAAAAGUCUUAACAAGUUGCCUAGACACGUAAACCACAGGGUUUCUGUCUCCUAAGUUAGCUAGUAAAAGCUCAGUUAUCUCCCCAAAUUACCUGGUUGCUUUUCAGGAGUGAUUCGAUUUCAUCAGUCUAGAUGGUCAUGUCUCCACGAUGUCUGAUGGGCCACAUUUUGGAUAGCUGGGCUUGCAUCUGAAUAUCUUGUCUUAGCUUGGUGUACAAACUUACACUGUGUCUAGUCCAAAUCACUUGCCUUUCCGCACCACUACCUUUUCUCUUUUUCUGGCCAACAUCUUGCUUUUUCAGCAUUACAGUUUCUUUUGCAAAAGAAUCUUUUUGUAUAUGCAGCCUCUCUUUCUUCUUCUAACUCCAGUGUAAUACAAGGCCUGGGAAGCAAUAGUUUCAUGGAGCAGAGACGACAAGGACUGGCCAGUUUUAGGUGAAAACUAAGGCAAUGCUCACAGUCUUCCAAAGUGUUGGUCGAUCACUUUGUUGUCUGACAGCCGAUGGGAAGAAGUUGCUCCAUGCUCCUAGCACAGCCCAGCAGUGGGCAGAAGAACUUCUCCGCAAGUGAAGUGGUUGCCACCCAGGGGAAAGGAAGGACCCCAGAAUUCACUGGAUCCCAACACUGAGACUACCUCAUGGGUGUGGGUUAGCUGGAAUAUACACGCGGGGGGGGGGGGUUUAAGGACUAUAUGGUACUGAAUCACAACCGUGCCAUGUCUAACAGAGCAGCCUUUAGCAGCAGACCAUGAGGAACGUCCCAUUUAUGCCUGGGCUCAAGUGGACAUCUAUCAUCCAACAUUUACCAUCAGAUACCUGCCCAGGAAAAUUCCAAGCAGUGGUUAUUUCUGGAUUCCCUUUCUCAGAAGACAAAAUAAUUUUCCAGACAAUUCCCAUUGCUACUUGUUUCUUCAUAGGCCUCCUUCCCACAACAAGAAGAUGCUGAAUUUGAUCUCCAAAAGCCCUUAGAUCUACACCAUUUUCCUACUACCACAAAUGGACUCCAAACAAGAUGUUACUGCUCUUCAACAAACCCUUUCUCCUCAGAUCCUUGGUCAACCAUAGCCCCAGAGGCAGAGUGUGCUGCUUUCCUGGCCAAGGCAUGACGUGCCAUCUUAGUGUUGCAAUCCCUGCUGUUUUCUGCAGGACACUUCACUUGUGGAUGAUGUUGUACAGUCUGCACAUCCCAACCCAGCUAACAGCACAAAGACCAGGUCAAGUAAGUGUGUUGCCAAGCUAUAUCCUGGCACCGCCACAGGAGAGUGGAGCAGGUCCUGGGAGCCAAGAGGAGCACAGCUCAGUUGGGUUGUGGUGCCACAGAUGGGGAUGACAUCUCACAGUUUGGCUCUGGAACGGGGUGCUUCUUAUGGCCUUCUUCACCGCUGGUGCUGCUGUCACCACAGCUGUUGCUGGGACGGUGGCAGAUUCAAGGAUGGAGAGUCCCACCUCAACAGGGGCUCGUUCCACCAUGUCCAGGCAGUCUGGAAGAGGGACUGUGGACCAAGGGAGUGUUAGUGCAGGAGAAAUGGGCUUGGACACAGCAAGAGAUGACCAGCAGCAGAUCGUGGACAAGGCCCACAUCACAGAGGUAUACAGAUCUGCCUGUCCCUGUGUACAUGAGUGAUGAAGCACCAUCUCCUACUCACGCUUGUGUAGUGUACCAACUUCGUUCUCAGCGGGUUGGCAGGUGGCCGUAACUCUUGUUUCUGAUGUUGUUCCCUCCUCUAUUUCAGUAAUAAAGUCCCUAAUCCUAUAGUUUUA